rnacentral:sRNA from 1 species
UUUAAAUGACGUUCGGCUAAGUUCCUCACGUCCUGUGAGAACGCCGAACUGGCUUGUCCUGGAUA